rnacentral:rRNA from 1 species
AACGUAGGGGGCAAGCGUUGCCCGGAUUCACUGGGCGUAAAGCGGGUGUAGGCGGUCUUCUAAGUCGGAUGUGAAAUCCUGCGGCUCAACCGCGGAACUGCAUCCGAUACUGGUCGACUUGAGGACGGUAGAGGUCGGUGGAAUUCCGGGUGUACCGGUGAAAUGGGCAGAUAUCCGGAGGAACACCAGUGGCGAAGGCGGCCGACUGGGCCGAUCCUGACGCUGAGACCCGAAAGCUAGGGUAGCGAACCGG